rnacentral:sRNA from 1 species
CAUCACCAUCAUCAUCCUAAAUAGUCUUUCAGGAGGAUGAUUCUGGAAGGCUUUAUCUUCCAGACAGGCAUUCACAGGUUUGCAGCCCUUGGAGGAUAUAAACUUCCAGGGGCUUUAAU